rnacentral:lncRNA from 1 species
CCUAUGAACGAUUGAAUUCCAGUGUCACGCUAUCCAUGCCAGCUUGCACAGACUUCAUACAAUCCACUACCUAAACUCCCAAUAUUCAGCCCCUUUCCCACAUUUCUUCGAAAUCAUUAUCUUGAUCCUGAAAUUGGUGGGCUUUACUCGAGUUAGAGCACAUCAUCCUCAUCCUUGCUCCAUAAAUACUUGGACCACUAGGAGAGAGAGUAUAUGACAGCAAAGUUGUGGCAAUCACAGUUGAGGGAAAGAGAGGCAGAGAUGAACCCAUGCAGCACAAUCACCAUUGCUCAAUUUCUCCUGAAGACUCUGAGGAGCCUUCCAAACAUCAAAAGCACUAUCGCCACCACCACCGUAGCAAGAAAUAGACAGAGAAAACGUAUAAGAAAGCAUAUGAGGAACUGGAAGAAAGAGGAAUUGAUGAAAUCUAGGUCAAAGAUAGAAAAUUGGAGAUGAUGUUAAGAAAAACGGAGAUGAGGGUGUGGUGGUUGAGGUUCUG